rnacentral:rRNA from 1 species
GAAUGGGCGAAAGCCUGACGGAGCAAUACCGCGUGAGGGAGGAAGGCUCUUGGGUCGUAAACCUCUUUUCUCAGGGAAGAAGAAAGUGACGGUACCUGAGGAAUAAGCAUCGGCUAACUCCGUGCCAGCAGCCGCGGUAAUACGGAGGAUGCAAGCGUUAUCCGGAAUGAUUGGGCGUAAAGGGUCCGCAGGUGGUACUGUAAGUCUGCUGUUAAAGAGUCUGGCUUAACCAGAUAAAAGCAGUGGAAACUACAGAACUAGAGUGCGUUCGGGGCAGAAGGAAUUCCUGGUGUAGCGGUGAAAUGCGUAGAUAUCAGGAAGAACACCGGUGGCGAAAGCGUUCUGCUAGGCCGCAACUGACACUGAGGGACGAAAGCUAGGGGAGCGAAUGGGAUUAGAUACCCCAGUAGUCCUAGCCGUAAACGAUGGAUACUAGGCGUGGCUUGUAUCGACCCGAGCCGUGCCGGAGCUAACGCGUUAAGUAUCCCGCCUGGGGAGUACGCACGCAAGUGUG